CAUGGCUCAGAUUGAACGCUGGCGGCAUGCCUUACACAUGCAAGUCGAACGGCAGCACGGACUUCGGUCUGGUGGCGAGUGGCGAACGGGUGAGUAAUGCAUCGGAACGUGCCAUUGAGUGGGGGAUAACGUAGCGAAAGUUGCGCUAAUACCGCAUAUUCUGUGAGCAGGAAAGCAGGGGACCGCAAGGCCUUGCGCUCUUUGAGCGGCCGAUGUCAGAUUAGCUAGUUGGUGAGGUAAAGGCUUACCAAGGCGACGAUCUGUAGCGGGGUCUGAGAGGAUGAUCCACCACACUGGAACUGAGACACGGUCCAGACUCCUACGGGAGGCAGCAGUGGGGAAUUUUGGACAAUGGGGGCAACCCUGAUCCAGCCAUGCCGCGUGAGUGAAGAAGGCCUUCGGGUUGUAAAGCUCUUUCGGCCGGGAAGAAAUCGCAUGGGCCAAUACCCUGUGUGGAUGACGGUACCGGAAUAAGAAGCACCGGCUAACUACGUG
rnacentral:rRNA from 1 species